GCUUUAUUUGAGCCAGAGUCAAGGAUUAUGACCUGAGGAGCGUCUCGGAAAGCCCUGAGAACUGGUCCACCCACCAGAAAUCAAGGCACAGUUACACACGAGUUCUGAGACACAGGACUGUACAUCAAAGCAACAGUUCUUAGUCAGACGCAAACGGCAUCAUUGCAGUGGGUCAUGUGACCUCUUCUGAGAUUACCAACAAGUGCUGUCGAUAAAGAGUCGUCUUGCUGAUGCUGGCGGGAGGCUGCUCUUCAGCUGGGCGGGUGUUCCUGCCAAUGUGGUGGUCCAGGAGAUGCCCAGUGCAGGAGAGGAGGCCAGAGGGCAGAGACUUCCCACGCUUACUUUUCCUCGUCUCGCCAUAAGACGUGAGUUUUUCUUCACACCGAUACUCACAGGCUGCUCCCUUGCCUGCCGGUGCAGACCCCCACGCGUCUCCCUGAGAUCUCCCUUCCUCGCCCGCUUGUGUUCUACCUGCUGCCGCACUGACGGGGCCAGACCGGCUGCUUAACCGGAAGCAAGCAGACUUCCUGCUCCCGCCUUGCGUCUCCAGGGCUAGAGGAGCCGGAACUCUGCAGUUCACUUGUGCUGGGAAUCACGUCUUAUCGUUUGCUGUAUUGCCAAAAUACAAAAGUAUUUCUGGGAAUCCAGUGAAGUGUUGAUUCGAAAAUGUUCUUAAAUACUUUCGGCUUAUCUGAUAAAAGCUCGAAAGAUUAACUCAUGGACACGUUUUUGAAUUUUUUCUUUCCUGCAGAACAAGGGGGAGAAUCCCUUUCUCUUUCCACAAUGAGAGCAUGUCUCCUGAGUCUGGAUCUGAAUCUCGGCCUGUCUCAUGCUUGAUCCACGGACGGGCUCAGUGUCUUAGCUCCUCCUCACCCACCUGAGGCUGCGUCUCCCCAGAGUCUGAUCCUGCCUCAGGCCGGGGUCCUCCACAUGCUACCGAGUUGAUCUGUGGGGACCCUGCUCAGGCCCCAGCCAGGCCGCGGCUCCCUGCCUUGGCAGGAGACGUUCCUUUCCCAUUCAGGCUGGAGCAGCUAAAACCAAGUAGAGAUCAACACAGCGCAGGUUUAAUUCAGUGGAAAGAACGGAAAAGCAGGAACCGAGUUCACAGAGCAAUUCUCGCCCCACCUGGAGAGGGCGGUUUAAUUCCCAAGAGGAGAGACAGAGGAGGAGGAGCGAUGCUGAGGACGGGGAGGCGUCGGGCUUUUCUGAGGGAGAGGGCUGCCGGCCCGUCUCAUGCUUUUCCGGUCUGCAUCCUCCCACGGCCGCUGCUAGGUUUGCCAUCUAGUACCUAAAGUAGUCAAACCAGCUUCAAGUGAGACUCGGGCUCUGCUGGAGGUCAGACUCGUCACCAUCGUGGUCCCCGCUGCUUCCAGCCGGGCUUGUGGCCGCCACUCUCAUCUCUGGAAACUCUACCUCAGAGUUUCACGUCCACUCCUGCCGAAGGUGAGGGUUUCCAGGUUCUGAGCGAAGACCUGCAGUCGCUCCGGCAACGUGAGCUUUGUCCUUGGCAGCUCACCCCCUGGCGCCAGACUGGGCUUGCAGGGCUGUGAGCGAAACACGCUGCUGCGUAUCAGCCCCUGCAGGUGGCGCCAGUGGUAAGGCACCCACCUGCCGAAGCAGGAGGACCCCCUGGAGGAGGCAGGACCACCCGCUCCCGUGCUCUUGCGGAGAAUCCUGUGGACGGGGGGCCUGGCGGGCUACAGUCCAUGGGGCCGCAGAGUCAGACCCGACUGAGUGCCUAGCGCUAACGAGUAGACCAGCAAUGCUGCAGCCACCCAGCCACCACAGCUGCCCCAGAAAGGGGGUCCUGGGGGGACUCGGAGUGCAGACAGAGGGCCCAGGACACUGGCCCGGCAGGUAGCUGAGCUGCACAUCAAGGGAGCGGCGUCAGUGAGCUGACUCUCGCCUCUUCCCAUUCACAGAAAGGGGCUAAAUCCACCAACCUGAGAUGCUUGGUUUUCUGUAAGUAAUAGUAUCUUCCCAUGCUCCAACCACCUGGUCUUUGUUGCAAAAGCUCCCAUGGAUCCCAGCUCCUCCCUCGCCUCUUCAGAGCUCUCCCUGAGAGCCAUCUGAGACACUCACUCCCGGCAAGUCCUCAGCAAGCUAGCCCAGCAAAGCAACACCCUCACCCCACCCUGGGAGUGUCCGCAUUCCAGGCUCCCUGGGGGCUCACCACCGUGGUACAAGGGCCGGCUGUCUGCAACAUUGUUUACUGAUAUGGCAGAAAUGCUUUUUCAUCCACAAGGGAAAUCUCUGUUUGUAAGGGAGUCUCCUGUCUGAGUCAGGAGAGAAGGCUGAUACCAAAUCAGCGGAGACUGAAGUCUGCACGACUGUAUCUGUAUCUGUUAAUCAUUCUGAGUCCCCUUCCUGCAACUGGCCUCCACACACUUUCUCAGCCUUAACUGAAGAUGCUGAAAGUGUUAGUCACUCAGUCCUGUCUGACUCUGCGACCCCGUGGACUGUAGCCCGCCAGGCUCUUCUGUCCAUGGGAGUCUCCAGGCAAGAAUACUGGGGUGGGUAGCCAUGCCCUCCUCCAAGGGAAUCUUCCCGACCCAGAGAUCGAACUCGAAUCUCUGGCAUUCCGGGCGGACCCUCUGCUGUCUGAGCCCCAGGGACGCCCAGCGGGAGACGGUUCUUCUUCCUGAACUCCAGGCUCCUCUUUGAGGUGCUCUCCGCCUAGGCGCCUCCGCUGUGGACAGGAGGUGCCCCCGUGGGUAAACGCUCGAUUUCCUCUUGCUAAUCAGUCAUAUUGCAAGGCCCCCAGCUGACAACCCAGGAGUGAAAACAGUCAGGACCCUGUGGGGCCCUCUCGGGUACGAAACCUUUCUGCGUUCCCCCAUUUCCUCCUGGAGAAAGGAUUCAGCCUCCUAGACCUUCUCUUCCCUCCCAAGUGCAGAUUCCAGCAGUAGCCAAUCAGGGAAGGGAGGGGCGGCCAGGAAACAAAGGUGCAGCCUUGGGGGCGGGGGCAGAGUCCUGUGCCCCCAGGACUCACAGCCGGAUGCCCGGCGCUGCUGUAAGGACGGAGGCCCCCGCCCCGAGGACGGACUGCAGGCUGAGCCCAGGGUCCUGGGCACUUGCCCUCAUCUCCCACGCCCUCCUCAAAGGAAGGCACACACCUUGCAGCCCUGCCCCACAUCCUGCCCCUAAGACUCCUCAAGCCCAAUGGGGAGUCUGGGUCUCCUGAGAAGAGCCGCCCAGCCCUCUGGCUCAGCCCCGUGGUGAAACUUUCUCUGCUCCAGACUCUGUCGUUCCGGUUGGCCCGGCCUCACGUCGUGUGCAGGGCCUUCAGCAGGAGGGCAGGAGCAGGCCUCAGCUCGGGAGCCCAGGAAAGCAGUGUUGAAGGGACACCAGGGAAGCUCUGACUCCUUGGAAAAGACC
ensembl:lncRNA